GUGGCAGACGGGUGAGUAAUGCGUAGGAAUCUACCUAGUAGUAUGGAAUAGCCAUUAGAAAUGAUGGGUAAUACUGUAUAAUCCCUGCGGGGGAAAGAUUUAUCGCUAUUAGAUGAGCCUACGUUAGAUUAGCUAGUUGGUAAGGUAAUGGCUUACCAAGGCUAUGAUCUAUAGCUGGUCUGAGAGGACGAUCAGCCACACUGGAACUGAGAUACGGUCCAGACUCCUACGGGAGGCAGCAGUGGGGAAUAUUGGACAAUGGGCGAAAGCCUGAUCCAGCUAUGCCGCGUGAGUGAAGAAGGCCUUCGGGUUGUAAAGCUCUUUCAAUAGGGAAGAUAAUGACGGUACCUAUAA
rnacentral:rRNA from 1 species